rnacentral:rRNA from 1 species
CCAAACGGGGAAGGGCUUACAGUGGAUACCUAGGUACCCAGAGACGAAGAAGGGCGUAGCAAGCGACAAUGCUUCGGGAAGCCAGAAAUAAGCAUGGAUCCGGAGAUCCCCGAAUGGGUUAACCCUUGAAACUGCCGAAUCCACAGGAUGGGCGGCGAGAGACGACCUGGUGAACCGAAACAUCCAAGUAACCAGGGGAAGAGAAAGCAAAAGCGAUUCCCGUAGUAGCGGCGAGCGAAGAGGGAGCAGCCUAAACCGUGGGAACGGGGUUGUGGGGGAGCGAUAAAUACAAAGUCGUGCUGCUAGGUGAAGCGGUCGAGUCCCGCAUCCUAGACGGUUAGAGUCCGGUAGCUGGAAGCAGCACAGGCUUACGCUCUGACCCGAGUAGCAUGGGGCACGUGGAAUCCCGUGUGAAUCAGCGAGAACCACCUCGUAAGGCUAAACACUUCUGGGUAACCGAUAGCGAAAUAGUACCGUGAGGGAAGGGUGAAAAGAACCCCCAUCGGGGAGUGAAAUAGAACGUGAAACCGUAGGCUCCCGAGCAGUAGGAGGAGAAUCGGAUCUCUGACUGCGUGCCUAUUGAAGAAUGAGCCGGCGACUCAUAGGCGGCGGCCUGGUUAAGGGAACCCACCGGAGCCGUAGCGAAAGCGAGUCUUCCCAGGGCAACUGUCGCUGCUUAUGGACCCGAACCCGGGUGAUCUAUCCACGACCAGGAUGAAGCUUGGAUGAAACUAGGUGGAGGUCCGAACCGACUGAUGUUGAAAAAUCAGCGGAUGAGUUGUGGUUAGAGGUGAAAUGCCACUCGAACUCGGAGCUAGCUGGUUCUCCCCGAAAUGCGUUGAGGCGCAGCGGUUGGCUGGGCUACCUGGGGGUAAAGCACUGUUACGGUGCGGGCUGCGAGAGCGGUACCAAACCGAGGCAAACUCUGAAUACUAGGUAUGACUUCUGAGUAACACGGAGGUGAAGGUCAGCCAGUGAGACGGUGGGGGAUAAGCUUCGCCGUCGAGAGGGAAACAGCCCAGAUCACCAGCUAAGGCCCCUGAAUGACCGCUCAGUGGUGAAGGAGGUAGGAGUGCAAAGACAGCCGGGAGGUUUGCCCAGAAGCAGCCAUCCUUGAAAGAGUGCGUAAUAGCUCACUGAUCAAGCGCUCCUGCGCCGAGAAUGAACGGGAUUAAGCGGUCUGCCGAAGCUGUGGGAUGUCGAAUGAUACAUCGGUAGGGGAGCGUUCCGCCUCAAAAGGAAGCACCAACGCAAGCAGGUGUGGACGAAGCGGAAGCGAGAAUGUCGGCUUGAGUAACGCAAACAUUGGUGAGAAUCCAAUGCCCCGAAAACCCAAGGGUUCCUCCGCAAGGCUCGUCCACGGAGGGUGAGUCGGGACCUAAGAUCAGGCCGAGAGGCGUAGUCGAUGGACAACAGGCGAAUAUUCCUGUACUACCCAUCGUUGGUUACGGGGGACGGAGGAGGCCAGGUUAGCCGAAAGAUGGUUAUCGGUCCAAGGGCGCAAAGUGAGUGAACCUUUCGAGGCGAUGAAAAGGGGUAGAGAGAAUACCUCGAGCCGACGCCCGAGUGGCAAGCGCUACGGCGCUGAAGUAACUCAUGUCACACUCCCAAGAAAAGCCCGAACGACCUUCAACGAGUGGGUACCCGUACCUGAAACCGACACAGGUGGGUAGGUAGAGAAUACCUAGGGGCGCGAGAUAACUCUCUCUAAGGAACUCGGCAAAAUAGCCCCGCAACUUCGGGAGAAGGGGCGCCUUCUCGCAGAAGAGGUCGCAGUGACCAGGCCCAGGCGACUGUUUACCAAAAACACAGGUCCCCGCAAAGUCGUAAGACCAUGUAUGGGGGCUGACGCCUGCCCAGUGCCGGGAGGUUAAGGAAGUUGGUGACCCGAUGACGGGAGAGCCAGCAACCGAAGCCCCGGUGAACGGCGGCCGUAACUAUAACGGUCCUAAGGUAGCGAAAUUCCUUGUCGGGUAAGUUCCGACCCGCACGAAAGGCGUAACGAUCUGGGCACUGUCUCGGAGAGAGACUCGGUGAAAUAGACAUGUCCGUGAAGAUGCGGACUACCCGCACCCGGACAGAAAGACCCUAUGAAGCUUCACUGUUUCCUGGGAUUGGCUUUGGGUUCUUCCUGCGUAGCUUAGGUGGAAGGCGAGGAAGGCCCCCUUCCGGGGGGGCUC